AGCUUGCUCAUGGGUUUUGUGGAGGGCGUAGAUUGGAACCAAAAAGCACGCCUCGGCUUGGUGCUCCCUGUCGCCCUCUGUUGACAUGGGGAGAGAAGAGCGGGUCUGACUCGGAAAUGACGCCAUAAUGCUGAGGAACCACUCCUGGCGUUGCGGAAGGUGGGGUGUGGGGCCGGAAGACCCUCCCCCCGCGUCUUCAGAGGAGCGCUGUUUCUGGAGGAGUUAGGGGAAGGAGGCUGCCUGACUAUAUCAGCCACGGAUAGGAUAUGUGAGAAUACCAGCAUGUCAAGGCUGGGAAUCAUCCUUAGGCAUCACCUAGCCAGUCCUGCCUCUCAUUUUAAGAUGCAGAGUGUUCAUAUGAGGAGAGACUUUCCCUUGUCUCCGUCAUCUGUGAUUUCACUUCCCUGACAGAAGACGAAGCUUCCAUCUCAGAUGUUUUCUUAAAUGAUGAAACAGCAUACGCCUCUGUUCUUGUCAGCUCAGGGAAAACAGAUCUGGGGACCUCUUCAUCUCUGCGUUGGGAAGCAUAGGUGGUAUAAUCCCCUCCUGUCACGUCCAACGUUGCAUAGUCAGAAGCUUCGCCCUUGUAGUUGGUGCACACAGCACG
rnacentral:lncRNA from 10 species